AGCACCAAUGUCAACACUCAACAAGAACACAAUGAAAACUCUCUGACACUUUAAUCUUUGGAUACUUGUCUUCUCAUAAGACACAUCCCUGCUUAUAUAAUAAAUCAUAAACUUGUUCUCUAAGUGCAAUUUAAUGAACUUCCAUUUCCAUGUAAGAAAACUUCUUAUUCAUAUGCAAGUAACACUUCCUCUUUAAAUAAAACCAAUUAGUUUAAUGAAAAACGUUGUUUGUCUUCAACAAGAUAUU
rnacentral:lncRNA from 1 species